rnacentral:lncRNA from 12 species
UGAUCACAUGCACUUGCGGGUUGGGAAGGUGUGAAACUGUAGAGCUCAGAUCAGGUCCAAAUCACUCCUUCUUCAUGCUUUCUUGUGCUUUGGAUGUAAGGGAGAGUUGGUCUGUCUUAUCCUUUACUUUCAGAGAGGACAGAGAGACAGCAUUUAUUCUUGAUGACACGAAAUGAGAGAUGAUGAAACAAAAUAGAAUGAGAUGCAGGGAAAACAUUGAAAACAGGGUAGAUGGAAGGCAUAUACAAGGAGUUAAAUAGAAUCUUUUUGAUAUACAGGCAGAUUUGGUUUGUGGAGGCAAUUAAGAAGUGAAAAUUAAUAUUUUCUUCUUUAAAGAUGACAAUUUUUAUUUAUAAAGCACUCCUUGCUGGAAUAAGCUCAAAGCAUUUAAUGGGCACUGGCUAAUUACCCCACCCAACAAUCUGGCAGCCAGGAAAAGAGAGAGAUAAUUAUCCCCAUUUUGCAGGCAAGGAGACCAAGCCACAGAAGAGUGGUGCCUUGCAUAAAACCAGAGAGCUGAAAAUAGAAGGCAAGCCUCCUAAUAGCACCCUUCCACUCCACUGUAUGUUUAUAGACGUAGACUCCUGAGAAAGGACAACACACUUGCUGGCCAGAAAAAAGCAGCCGUCACUCAUUGGGAACUACAGCUCCCAGCAGACACCAAGAAGACAGGGCUGUGCCCCUACUGCCCAUGCCAGAUUCCCAAAUAUGGAGAAGGACUGGAUUUUGGAAGAGGAACAGAAUGCUCACCCUUGAAAGAGAGGGAGAGACAGAGGGAGUAUGAGGUCUAAAGUAUCCUUGGUGUUCGUUUAUCCUUCCUCUUUCUGCUACCCUGCAACAGGGCCAGACAGGACUGGAAUAUCGGAAUGCUCUCUGAGUGACCCCGUAAGUCAGUACUCCAUCUGGCUUUUAUCUCAGUGGAUUUGACUAAGUCCGUGGAAGAACAGUAGCUGCUUCCAGGCAUGAAGGCUCAUUGUGUCCAGGUAGAAAAGAGUAUUGACUUGCUCAUUUAUUGAUUUAAACCUAGGAGUCACUCCCAAUUCUUUAGCCCCAAGAGGCCUCCUAAAAUAGAGAACAUUCACUGCUAUGGGGACUUACACUACUUCAGAUAGUGUGUUUGGUACCAGUGACUCGACUGGUUAGAAUGAA